rnacentral:rRNA from 1 species
AUACGGAGGGUGCGAGCGUUAUCCGGAUUUAUUAGGUUUAAAGGGUGUGUAGGCGGGAGCCUAAGUCAGUGGUGAAAUCUCACAGCUUAACUGUGAAACUGCCAUUGAAACUGGGUUUCUUGAGUAUAGUUGAGGUAGGCGGAAUGUGUAAUGUAGCGGUGAAAUGCAUAGAUAUUACACAGAACACCGAUUGCGAAGGCAGCUUACUAAGCUAUUACUGACGCUGAUGCACGAAAGCGUGGGUAGCGAACAGGAUUAGAUACCCUAGUAGUCC